rnacentral:lncRNA from 1 species
CAAAAAGGUCCUCAAAAAAGGGUCCCCAAGGGAGCCCCAAAACGCCCCAGGAUUGCCCGAAUUGUCCCUAAAAAUACCCAGCUGGCCCCUGAGUUGCAAAAGUGCGCCCCCCCACACCCCCCAAAAUGUCCCCAAAAUAUUCCUAAAAUGUUCCCGGAAUGGCCCAAAAUGGUCUCGACCCAAAACGGUCCCCAAAAAGUCCCCAAAAGGGAGCCCUGAAACGCCCCAGGGUUCCCUGAAUUGUUCCUAAACAUCCCCAGCUGGCCCCUGAGUUGCAAAAGUGCGCCCCCCCCAAACACCCAAAAUGUCCCCAAAUGUCCUCAAAAUAUCCCUAAAAUGUUCCCAGAAUGGCCCAAAAGGGUCUCGACCCAAAAUAGUCCCCAAAGUGGCCCCAAAAAGUCCCCAAAAGGGAGCCCCGAAACACCCCAGGAUUCCCUGAAUUGUCCCUAAAACUCCCCAGCUGGCCCAAGAGUCCCAAAAGUGGUCCCCCCCAACCCCCAAAAUGUCCCAAAGUGUCCCUGGGGUGUCCCCAAGAUGUCCCUGGGGUGUCCCCAUGUCCCCGAGGUACCCCCAGGUUGUCCCCAAAGUGUCCCCUGGGUGUCCCCAAAGUCCCCCCAGGGUGACCCCAAAGUGUCCCCAGGGUGACCCCAAAUCCCUGAGGUGCCCCCAGGGUGUCCCCAAAGUGUCCCCUGGGUGUCCCUUUGUCCCCGGGGUGACCCCAAAGUGUCCCCAGAGUCCCCCCAGGGUGUCCCCAAGGUGUCCCCAUGUCCCCAAAAAGUGUCCCCUGGGUGUCCCCACCUGCGCCUGCAGCACGGGCACGGUCUCGAGGGCCGCUCGCUGCUGCUCGGCCUCGGCCUUGAGCUUGUCGAUCAGCUCCUGCUUGGCCGCCAGCGCCUCCUCCGCCUGCUGCAGCUGCGCCCGCAGCUCCCCCAGCUGCCGCGACGCCCCCUGGGGGGCCCCAAAAAAUCAGUGAGACCCCAAAAAAUAACCAGGAACCCCAAAAAUAACCAGGAACCCCAAAAAAUAACUGGGGAGACCCAAAACUGGACAGGGAGA